rnacentral:ncRNA from 1 species
CAAAGCGCAUUAGAAGGAGAAGUACGUAAAAAAUGUUUUAAAGAGAGGGUCAUCACCGGCUGAGAGUGACCUAAACCUCUAUUUUACGGAAAUGCACCUUUCGAGCACGAUGCUGAAACUAAGUAGGCACGUCGGAUCGUCCUCGUUAUUGGACUUUUGAGUGGAAGGCACUAUGUUGCUUUCAAUCAGAGUGGAACCGCGUUUAUAAACGUCUCUGUC